rnacentral:lncRNA from 1 species
AUUUACUUCAAGAAUUAGAAUAUUUAAGAGUUUGAAGGUUUGAGUAAGAAAAUUUCGAUGACUAGAAAUAGUGAUAUUGAUUCUAAUCAACACCGAUGAUAUUGAUCUUUUCUUUAUGAAAUGAUUAAAUGAUGAAGUUACAUUGAGAAUUAAAAUAUCAAAAGUUCGAGAAUGAGAUUGAAAUGAUAAAUCUUCAAUCUUUG